rnacentral:rRNA from 1 species
GGGUUGUGAGGUUAAGCGACUAAGCGUACACGGUGGAUGCCCUGGCAGUCAGAGGCGAUGAAGGACGUGCUAAUCUGCGAUAAGCGUCGGUAAGGUGAUAUGAACCGUUAUAACCGGCGAUUUCCGAAUGGGGAAACCCAGUGUGAUUCGUCACACUAUCAUUAACUGAAUCCAUAGGUUAAUGAGGCGAACCGGGGGAACUGAAACAUCUAAGUACCCCGAGGAAAAGAAAUCAACCGAGAUUCCCCCAGUAGCGGCGAGCGAACGGGGAGCAGCCCAGAGCCUGAAUCAGUGUGUGUGUUAGUGGAAGCGUCUGGAAAGGCGCGCGAUACAGGGUGACAGCCCCGUACACAAAAAUGCACAUGCUGUGAGCUCGAUGAGUAGGGCGGGACACGUGGUAUCCUGUCUGAAUAUGGGGGGACCAUCCUCCAAGGCUAAAUACUCCUGACUGACCGAUAGUGAACCAGUACCGUGAGGGAAAGGCGAAAAGAACCCCGGCGAGGGGAGUGAAAAAGAACCUGAAACCGUGUACGUACAAGCAGUGGGAGCACGCUUAGGCGUGUGACUGCGUACCUUUUGUAUAAUGGGUCAGCGACUUAUAUUCUGUAGCAAGGUUAACCGAAUAGGGGAGCCGAAGGGAAACCGAGUCUUAACUGGGCGUUAAGUUGCAGGGUAUAGACCCGAAACCCGGUGAUCUAGCCAUGGGCAGGUUGAAGGUUGGGUAACACUAACUGGAGGACCGAACCGACUAAUGUUGAAAAAUUAGCGGAUGACUUGUGGCUGGGGGUGAAAGGCCAAUCAAACCGGGAGAUAGCUGGUUCUCCCCGAAAGCUAUUUAGGUAGCGCCUCGUGAAUUCAUCUCCGGGGGUAGAGCACUGUUUCGGCAAGGGGGUCAUCCCGACUUACCAACCCGAUGCAAACUGCGAAUACCGGAGAAUGUUAUCACGGGAGACACACGGCGGGUGCUAACGUCCGUCGUGAAGAGGGAAACAACCCAGACCGCCAGCUAAGGUCCCAAAGUCAUGGUUAAGUGGGAAACGAUGUGGGAAGGCCCAGACAGCCAGGAUGUUGGCUUAGAAGCAGCCAUCAUUUAAAGAAAGCGUAAUAGCUCACUGGUCGAGUCGGCCUGCGCGGAAGAUGUAACGGGGCUAAACCAUGCACCGAAGCUGCGGCAGCGACGCUUAUGCGUUGUUGGGUAGGGGAGCGUUCUGUAAGCCUGUGAAGGUGUACUGUGAGGUAUGCUGGAGGUAUCAGAAGUGCGAAUGCUGACAUAAGUAACGAUAAAGCGGGUGAAAAGCCCGCUCGCCGGAAGACCAAGGGUUCCUGUCCAACGUUAAUCGGGGCAGGGUGAGUCGACCCCUAAGGCGAGGCCGAAAGGCGUAGUCGAUGGGAAACAGGUUAAUAUUCCUGUACUUGGUGUUACUGCGAAGGGGGGACGGAGAAGGCUAUGUUGGCCGGGCGACGGUUGUCCCGGUUUAAGCGUGUAGGCUGGUUUUCCAGGCAAAUCCGGAAAAUCAAGGCUGAGGCGUGAUGACGAGGCACUACGGUGCUGAAGCAACAAAUGCCCUGCUUCCAGGAAAAGCCUCUAAGCAUCAGGUAACAUCAAAUCGUACCCCAAACCGACACAGGUGGUCAGGUAGAGAAUACCAAGGCGCUUGAGAGAACUCGGGUGAAGGAACUAGGCAAAAUGGUGCCGUAACUUCGGGAGAAGGCACGCUGAUAUGUAGGUGAAGUCCCUCGCGGAUGGAGCUGAAAUCAGUCGAAGAUACCAGCUGGCUGCAACUGUUUAUUAAAAACACAGCACUGUGCAAACACGAAAGUGGACGUAUACGGUGUGACGCCUGCCCGGUGCCGGAAGGUUAAUUGAUGGGGUCAGCGCAAGCGAAGCUCUUGAUCGAAGCCCCGGUAAACGGCGGCCGUAACUAUAACGGUCCUAAGGUAGCGAAAUUCCUUGUCGGGUAAGUUCCGACCUGCACGAAUGGCGUAAUGAUGGCCAGGCUGUCUCCACCCGAGACUCAGUGAAAUUGAACUCGCUGUGAAGAUGCAGUGUACCCGCGGCAAGACGGAAAGACCCCGUGAACCUUUACUAUAGCUUGACACUGAACAUUGAGCCUUGAUGUGUAGGAUAGGUGGGAGGCUUUGAAGUGUGGACGCCAGUCUGCAUGGAGCCGACCUUGAAAUACCACCCUUUAAUGUUUGAUGUUCUAACGUGGACCCGUAAUCCGGGUUGCGGACAGUGUCUGGUGGGUAGUUUGACUGGGGCGGUCUCCUCCUAAAGAGUAACGGAGGAGCACGAAGGUUGGCUAAUCCUGGUCGGACAUCAGGAGGUUAGUGCAAUGGCAUAAGCCAGCUUGACUGCGAGCGUGACGGCGCGAGCAGGUGCGAAAGCAGGUCAUAGUGAUCCGGUGGUUCUGAAUGGAAGGGCCAUCGCUCAACGGAUAAAAGGUACUCCGGGGAUAACAGGCUGAUACCGCCCAAGAGUUCAUAUCGACGGCGGUGUUUGGCACCUCGAUGUCGGCUCAUCACAUCCUGGGGCUGAAGUAGGUCCCAAGGGUAUGGCUGUUCGCCAUUUAAAGUGGUACGCGAGCUGGGUUUAGAACGUCGUGAGACAGUUCGGUCCCUAUCUGCCGUGGGCGCUGGAGAACUGAGGGGGGCUGCUCCUAGUACGAGAGGACCGGAGUGGACGCAUCACUGGUGUUCGGGUUGUCAUGCCAAUGGCACUGCCCGGUAGCUAAAUGCGGAAGAGAUAAGUGCUGAAAGCAUCUAAGCACGAAACUUGCCCCGAGAUGAGUUCUCCCUGACCCUUUAAGGGUCCUGAAGGAACGUUGAAGACGACGACGUUGAUAGGCCGGGUGUGUAAGCGCAGCGAUGCGUUGAGCUAACCGGUACUAAUGAACCGUGAGGCUUAACCUUACAACGCCGAAGGUGUUU